rnacentral:rRNA from 1 species
UACGUAGGGGGCAAGCGUUGUCCGGAAUCAUUGGGCGUAAAGAGCGCGUAGGCGGCCCAGUAAGUCCGCUGUGAAAGUUCAGGGCUCAACCCUGGAAUGCCGGUGGAUACUGUCGGGCUAGAGUCCGGAAGGGGCGAGUGGAAUUCCUGGUGCAGCGGUGAAAUGCGCAGAUAUCAGGAGGAACACCAAUGGCGAAGGCAGCUCGCUGGGACGUGACUGACGCUGAGACGCGAAAGCGUGGGGAGCAAACAGG